GAGGCGUGGCCUUCGGUGAACUCAAUAAAAGCGGGGGCAACCAUUUUGCCGGCGCUUUUUGCCGUGGGGGCUUAGGCUGAGCUGUUGGUCUGGCGGUCGGAUGGAUAAACCUUGCUGUCUGCUGGAAUGACAACGAGGCACCAAGCAGUGGAGCGCAGCCCCUCCCGCUGUCAACUUCGUGGAAGGUGCAAUCAGUUUUCUGCUCCUGAGGUAAACACUGCUGCCCGACCAGCAUCUCAUUCCGUGGCCACGUGGACAGUCCUCGAGAGCGGCCGCCCUGCGUGGAGGUCCCGUUGGUGUUCUCAACCUAGACCAUUGAGGGGAACGGACCCGAACCAGCCGCUCUUCUGAGGUUCGUCACUCCACAGACCCUCUUCUUCCCCUGACAGAUGAGGAAAGGAGUCUCCCUUGCCCUUGUGUGGCCUUCCUGAACUUCACAGUGCCGGCCGCCGUCGAGGAAAUCUUCACUAUGCUUGCCCAGAGGUCUGCCUCAGGUUCAGUCCAACAUUGCUGCUGCUGCCUUGGCUCUGCUCCGACGCCAUUGCCCCGACCUCCUGAGAGGCCCUGUUCCACCUACGCUCUACCGACUUGGUGAAGCCCCAGUACAGGUUUCCCACGACCCGGAAGUCUUCAUGCUGGACGCAGAUAAUAUCUUCCUGUGAGAUCGAAGGGGGGAGUCUGGGGAAUGUUAUCUUGUAUCGUGUUUAUCUCUGGGAGGCAAAGGGCUUGACUGGUUCACACUGAAUAAAAAUGGGGGCAACCAUUUUGCCAUGGGGGCUUAGGCUGACCUGUUGGUCUAGCGGUUGGUUGGAUGUAAUAAACUUUGCCGUAAGCUGGG